GGAAUCUUCGGCAAUGGACGAAAGUCUGACCGAGCAACGCCGCGUGAGUGAAGAAGGUUUUCGGAUCGUAAAACUCUGUUGUUAGAGAAGAACAAGGGUGAGAGUAACUGUUCACCCCUUGACGGUAUCUAACCAGAAAGCCACGGCUAACUACGUACACG
rnacentral:rRNA from 1 species